rnacentral:rRNA from 1 species
GAUGAACGCUGGCGGCGUGCUUAACACAUGCAAGUCGAACGGAAAGGCCUCUGCUUGCAGGGGUACUCGAGUGGCGAACGGGUGAGUAACACGUGGGUGAUCUGCCCUGCACUUCGGGAUAAGCCUGGGAAACUGGGUCUAAUACCGGAUAGGACAAUGGGUUGGAUGCUGUUGUGGAAAGUUUUUCGGUGUGGGAUGAGCUCGCGGCCUAUCAGCUUGUUGGUGGGGUAAUGGCCUACCAAGGCGUCGACGGGUAGCCGGCCUGAGAGGAUGUAAGGACACAUUGGAACUGAGAUACGGCCCAGACUCGGACGGGAGGCAGCAGGGGGGAAUAUUGCACAAUGGGCGCAAGCCUGAUGCAGCGACGCCGCGUGGGGGAUGACGGCCUUCGGGUUGUAAGAUCCUUUCGCUAGGGACGAAGCGUUUUUGUGACGGUACCUGGAGAAGAAGCACCGGCUAACUACGUG